rnacentral:lncRNA from 1 species
AACAUCUAUGGACCAAAGUCUCCCUAUGCCACCAAGGAGCUGACGUACACAGAGGCCGCCUUCGACAAGCUGGUGAAGCUCUCAGAAUAUAAUAUCCUCAAUAACAGAGAUAAGCUCAUUCAGGCCUUGAGACUAGCAAUGGAGAAGAAACGCAUGAGGAGCCAGUGUCCCUCCUAGGCCUGGGGGAGUCCUAUCUAUCUCGUGUCUGCUUCUAUUGUCAGAAGCAUCGCCCCCAAAGCAGACCUCACACACAGCUGUCCCUGAUCUCUGGCUAGGGUCGCAACACCUUGGCCUGGGCUUUCUAGUAAAAUGUUACAAAUGAACAAAGGUGAGAGAGAAAAGAAGAGUCUAUUGGGUUUUAUACCCCUGGGGCUUCUCUCCACUUUCUGGCAAGGAAGGUACCAGGGUCACAGACUCCCACACAGUCUCAAGUAUAGAAUGUGAAUAUGUGGGCACAGAGAGUGGCUAGUUCCCAAGAGCCCUCACCCUUCGAGCUGGAGGCAAAAGUUCCCUAAGCAUCCCCUCCCCUCCUUUUCCUCCUUCCAUGGCCAGUCUAGAGAAAUGUCCAGGAAGACCAAGAACAGCAGAAGCUCACAGAGUGAGGAUCCAGGGAAGCCUUGGCAGGCUGUGGGCAAGCGGCACCGGGUGCAUGACGCUAUCUGGCGCCAGUAACGUCCUCUGGCAUCUCUCUGGCUUGCAGAUGGGGUUAUUUAUUUAUAAGUAUGAUUCUUCUUAUUUAUCACAGAAACACUAUGGCCGAUUUAUCUACGUUCUUAUACAGUGACUCAGAGAAUAAGGUUAGGAAAGAUGACCUCAGAAUGGUGAGUUAGGACUCUGACAAAGACCUCAGCUUUGGAGGAGAAUCUCUGGGGAAGCCCUGGACACCCGGACACCCAGCCUCCUGGCUUCACUAAAAGAUAGAAGGGGGUCCCUGCAGUGAGCAGGUAAAAGCCAAAGGGCAGCUAGGUAUGUGGCCUUUGGGGAGCCCAACGUGCCUGGAGGACAAGGGCCUCUUUCUGAGCCACAUGAUCCCUCCACAGUCCUGGUUGUUGAGAGAUUAAUGACACCCAACGGUGUUGUUUAUAUGUUUCAAAUGGACUCCUGGUUCCAUCAUUGCUAUUUAAAGUGGAUUCGAUUGGGCCUGGCUAUAAGCCCAGACCCAGCCACACCUACAGGAACCCAUACUGUGAAGAGACACCAGUGCCUCUGCUCCAGCCUUACCUGUCAGUGAGGGGGGUUGACUCCUGUGUGGGUACCAUUGGGGAAGGAUGGAUUUAUCACACUCUCCUACCAGCCUGGGGAGCAUGAGUCCAUAGACUCUGCUGAGCCACUGAUAAGCUGGGCUUCUGAGCCUGGAAAACUGGUCCCUACCCAAGUGUUGCUGAUGUGAGUUGGAUGUUCAUCACCUCCUCUAGCCCUCCACUGGAGUAGCUGGCUGGCAUUGCUUUUGCUUCCCCCAUGUAGAGAACAGGCUCUGAAUUGUCAAAGAGAGCCAAGAUAGAACCUUGUAUUUUGCAAGGUUUGACUCACCAUAGCAUAUAAAGUUUAUAAGAGCACUGUACCAUUUGAACACAGAAUAAAGUGGUUAUGAAGGU